AGAGCUGGAAGAAACGAAGAACCUCAACAAUUUUUAUUUCUACUUUUGAUCAAGGAAAAGCGUAUUUAGAAGGUUCGCUAGAGAAAAAUUUAGCAGUUUGGAGGAUUGAGAUCCUUUGGCAGAGAUAUGGGAGUGUGAGCAGGAAAUAUUUUUUUAAAGGAAGAGCUGGUGUUUUAGGAUGUCAAAGGUACAAAUUAUGAUGGUGCCAUGGUUGACAGAAAUUUGCAAGAUCUCCGUAUCUACAUGAACUCUUUGCUCCUGACUAUUAGCUGACUGGUCCAGAAAUUCUUGAUCCAAGCUUGAUAUGUAAGCUUCUCUCUCCUGUGAAUAUGGCACUGAGAGACACAAGAUUAGAAGCCCUGGGUGCUGAUCAAACUCAUAGCAAGGAAGAGUGGUGGCUCAAGACUGCCUGCUCCUGAGACUUCUGAGAAGGGUGUCUCUCUGUCUGUGUGGAUGCCUGAUGCUUCUGGUAUUUCACAAAUCUUGAGCCUGGCCAGGAGUUUACUAACAGGCACCCCUGUGUCAUCUGAACAAGAUAAAUAUCCCGCAGUGGAAUCAGCCUUCCCAGGGACCUCCCUGGACUCUGAGAAGUGAUUAAAGGGACUGUGCGGCAGUCAUGGGGAUGCAAGCAGCUGUGGCCAUCAAACUGGUUCUAACAGACAGUAUGAGAUCUUCAUGAUUCUGGACCAUAAGGAUUCCAAAUAGGCUGUUCACUUAUGAGUAGGCCUGUAACACGGACGUGUGAGAAUAAACGCCAGAGAAAAAUUUUUGAUGGUAUUGACAUGGAAUGCAUCUGUGGCACAGGCCAGCGAAGAGAUGGGUUGGCUUCCUCUUCGAGUCAGAGCAAAAGGAUGUGGCAAAAAAGAUCUAAGGAUGCCAUGAGGAAUUCCAUGUGUACAUGCAGGUCGUGG
rnacentral:lncRNA from 1 species